rnacentral:misc_RNA from 1 species
AACCAUCUCCCAUGGCAGCCACGUCUCCCUCUCUCCUCCCUCAGCUCGCUGGUGCUUGCCGCACAGUCUCGAGCUCCCCAUGGUGCGCGGUCCUGGUCCAGCCCCUGUUCUUCUCUCUUCUCCUCCACCGCAUCCUUCUCCCUAGACACCCCUUCGGCCGAGCAUCCUCUCUGCCGGAGCUGCCUCAACGCCCGCACUCCUUCAGGUUCUUCCAUGGCGAUCGUCGUUGAACUCCGUGCGCGCGCCUGCUCCUAUGCCGCGACCCCCAGUUCCCUCCCAUGGUGCUCUUCCUCGGCCACUGCUUCCCCAGCCACGAGUUCCCCCUGCUCGGCAUCUCCUCGAGAUUGCCUUAGCUCGAUGCCCAGUUUCUUUCUCCAUCGCGCCCUGCUCGAUUUCACCCCUGUGUCGCGUGCCCUGGCAUCUGCGUGCUCCGCGCGCGCCCCUUCCUCCUGCUUGGAUCCGACCAUCAUUCUGGCAGCUGGCCACGCCCCUGCCCCUGCUUCUCCCUCGCCAGCGCGCGUCCUCUGCUAAAUCGUCUCUAGCUCGCCCUGGAUGGCAUUCCUCUCCCUGCGCACAGCUGCGAGCUCCGCUCUGUCGCUCGGUCCUUGCUGUAGCUCGCGCCCAGCUUCCCUAUGCGCGCUUAGCUUGGAGCUCCCGCAGCCUAGCUCGGGUCUUUUCCAUGGCCACGCGCACCUCAAGCUCGACUCUCUGGUGUCGCACGCGUGCCUCUUGUUCGCCCCUGCUUGGACUGUGUUCACCCUCUGCAUGUGUCGAGCUCCUCUGUUGUGUGCGCGAAUCUGUUGUGUGCGCAAAGUUCUCUGCUUGCAAUGGCGUGUCGAGCUUCCGUGUCGAGCUCCUCUCUUCCGUGCCGGUCGUCGUCUCCGAGCCGAUUCUUGGCUGUCGCAGUAUUUUUAGUUAUCCGGCUGCGUCUGUGGUCGUCAAGUGUGUCUGUUGCCGUGAACUCGCCUGUGGUGCCCACUCUGUCUCUGGUCCGCGCUUCCUUCAGCUCGGCCAGGCGGGGCAUCGUUCCGUGCUGUGCUCGCCCAAGUCGUUGCCGUCAAAUCAUCGGAGUCGCUCAACUCGCCAAUCGCAUCUUGGCCGAUUGUCAAUUUUCUAUUUGCCAUGGUACAACACAACUAUUAGAUCUGAUCUCCAAACCGCCAUGGCGUCCGUCGUCCUCUGCUCCCAGCCCGACCUAUCUGUGCGCUCUCUCUUCGUCCAUCGGGCUUCGCGCGUGCUCGCAUUUAUCGUCGGGUUGUUGAACCCGUCCUUCCUUGCUUGUGACUUCGUCAUCGCCAGAGCCCUCACUGGAUUCGUGUCCUCGCCAGCUCACUCCAAAUUCGGUCUCGUCGUCGUUCCGUGCGUCAUCAAGAAAUCCCAAGAAUCUGGUGAAGAUGAAGCUAGCAGGGUGAUAUUCACCAAGUACUCGACAAAAGCUCGCACAAGUCGUCGAUCGACAUCCUCGUCUACGCCAAGCCCCUAAGCUGUGAAGACACUCUGGUGCUGGCCACACGUCACCAGCUCAACAAAAGGAAUACAUGGAUAUUUGGUCAAGAAUAGAAACUGUGUGCCUCGCUCGCCAGACGGGUGUGAUCAAUGACGUCGACCAGAAACCGUCAUCGUGCUUCCAACUAUCGCGUCGAAGUAGUCAGGGUAUGUUAAUUAAUCACGUGAUGUGGAAGACGACCCAAGUCGACCCCAAGCGCGGGCUACUCCGCAUAGUAAAGCGAAUGGACGAACCUGAAGAUGGGAUGAUCUGAUCAAGUGCUAGGACAAGGAUGAUCGUCAAGUGAACAUCAUCUAACAACACUAACCUAGUGUUACCCAGGCAAGCCCCGGUGCAUUUGCCACCUCCUUGUGUUUUAAAAUCUUUAUCACCUUGUUUGAUGCAUUAGGUGAUAGGAGUUGUGUGCUAAACCGUUGAUGCAUUUCCUUCCUUGGAAAAUUGAAUACCCUUCCUUGACACCCUUUUAUAAAAAUGAUUUUUGAUGCUUAGCCUUGCUUUAGCAAACAAAAAUGUUUUCUUUUAAAACAAAGGUGACGCUUCAGUGGGUGGGAAUGUUUUUAAAAAUAAAACUUGAUGGUGAAUCCAUCAUGGUCGUGAUGGGUUCAACAACAGAAAAGAUGUACCUCUGCCAGAUACCAAACUUUGCGUUGAAAAUAAUAAAGCUGAGACCGGGCGGUUGACUUGCACGAGAAAGGAGUCUCGGUGUAGUGUCUCCGUCUGAGUCGAUUAAGGACCUUGUCGAUGUAGGCUUGCUGAUCGAGGACCCUGUUGGGGGUCUUCGUCCUCCGAAGGUCCUCAAAAACAUGAUUUGACAAUGUUUUCCAAGUGGAUUAUGUGAACAGGUAUCUUCGGACUCAGAAUUACGAACAUGAAGUGCGGUCAGGACGAAGCCUGAACCAGACGAAGGACGGGCUGAUUACCAAGCUCCACAAAGGAUGGUGCACAGCCGAAGCUGUGUGCAGAGAAGCUUCGUCGCGAUAAUAGAGGGGGGAACCGACUUAAAGAUGAAAAGACUACGUGGACCUUGUCAGAUUUCCAUAAGUCAUUGACAAAUGUAAUGGACAUAAAUGUAAUUUUACGUGGGCUGCGUCCCGCGUCUAUAAAUAGAUGAACAGUACUCCCGUACUGUUCAGGCUGACUUGGCAUUUGCUUUUGCGUC